GAGUGGAGGAGGGGCUUGAGGAGGGGCUUGGGGCGGGGGAGGCUCUGACCACAGCACAGCGCACCAGUAACCUUGUCUGAUGUGAUCAUUAACCUCUCUGGAAAACGCAGCUGGCAGUUCUUGGAGUUUGUCAUUAGGAUGUGAGGACAGCCACACCGAUACUGCACAAGCUAUUUACAGAUUUUUUGGUUUACUUUGAGAGCUAUUGCUCCACUCGUGUGUGGCACAAAAAUGAGAUUUCAGCAAAUUUUUUGUGUAUUUUUAAUUUUCAUGAUGAGUCUCCUCCUUAUCCACGGACAGAGACCAGCUAAUUUGGCCCUGAGAAGAAAGCUACACAGACACAACUGCUUUCAGCGGAGAUGCCUGCCACUCCAUUCCCGGGUGCCCUUCCCCUGAGAGAACCUGGAGCUGGUGGCCUUGGGCCUGCAGGAGGGAAGGAAGGGGUGGUUCACUUCACUCACUGCAAGGACUUCACUGUGACAUCUACAUGACUCCUCAGACAUUACUGUCCAGAAAGCAUCCAGGGUGGGUUUUUUAAGAAGGAAAAUUAUGUAAGUUGAAAAGUGAAGUCUGAACCACCAUUAUUUGCCUUCAUAACAAAAAUCUCUCUUUUUCUGCACAUUAUUAUUCUUACACAAAUUAAAAAGGAAAAUAUUUUGUAAUGUUUUCAAACUCUGUAAUGGUAAAAAGUAUAAGAAUUUAAAGGGGUUUUUUCCCUACUCCUAUAAUUUUCCAAAAGUAUGCUUUAAAAUAUUUAAUCUAAAAUCAAAUGCACCGGGGCUGUAGCUCAGCAGCACAGUGCCUGCCUGGCAAGCGCGAGGUCCUGAGUUUGAUCCCUGUACCAAAAAAAUAAAAUAAAAUAAAAUCAGAUACAUUGACUGGAUUUACAGACUAGGGAGAAAAUAAUCAAUUCAUUAAUUAUUUAUAGAAAAAGUUAAUCAAUUCAUUAAUUAUUUAUACUGGAAAAAGUUAUUCUUGUCAUUUUAUAUGGUAAGCUUUAGUGUUUAUAAAAGUAUGAUAUUGUAUUUUAUAAAGGUGUAAAAGAAAGUAUAAAAUACUAGUUGUAGUUCAUUUUAUUCUAAAAUGGAAAUGCUCAUUUCUGAGUCUUUUUCUCAUCUUGUGAUUAUAACAAGCCUAUGUUUGAUUUCCUCUGAAGUUCUGUUUAUGCCCUUGAUUAUUUUGUACAGGUAAAAAGACUUGCUUAAAGGUAACAUGUAAAAUGCAGUCACAUCCAAGGAUGUAGCUCAGCAGCACAGCACCUGCCUGGCAAUCUCGAGCUCCUGAGUUUGAUCCCCAUACCAAAAUAAAAUAAAAUAAAAUAAAAUGCAGUCACAGCCAGGCAUGGGAGGCUGAGGCAGGAAGAUUGCCAUGAGUUUGAAGCCAGCCUGGGCCACAUAGUAAGUUCAAGGCCAGCCUGAUCUACAUACCAAGACCCUGUUUCAAAAAAACAAAAUAAAUAAAAUAAAAUGCAGUCACAUCAAUGAAGUCCUAAUGGCAGCAUCUAUAGCUCAUAGAUGAGUUUUCAUCACUCUGAUAAGCUCUGUAUCAGUGGUUUUCAACCUGCAUUGGUGAAAUAUGCAAAGAAAUUAGAAUGAAUUUAGGGGUAUUAUUUCCAAAAAAUACGUGUCUCCUGUCUAUAUCUGAACUGCACCAAUAACUAGGUAUUCCCGGGCCCGGGAUUUAGCUCAGCGGUUUCACCGCCUGCUGCGCAAGUGCAAAGACCCAAGUUCGAUCCCCAAUACCAAAAAAAUAAAUAAAUAAUAACUAGGUAUUCCCAAGUGAUUAUAUAUGCUAAUUUGUAUUUAUUGAAAGAUUUAGGGCUGGGGAUUUAGCUCAGUGGUUCCAUUGCCUUCCUUGAAAGCAAAAGGUCCCAAGUUCAAUCCCUGGUACCAAAAAAAAAAAGAAAGAAAGAUUUAACUUAGUGCUACAAAAUUUUAAGUUAAUUUCAGGUAAGACAUUUAUAAAUUCAUGUUUUUUUAAACAAAUUUCUUUUACUUUGUGAAUAUUAUAGAGUAGGGAAGUCAUUAAACAAUAGCCUUUAUUUUGCUAAAAUAGAAGUUUGGGAUUAAUAUAUAAAGAAUUUUAAGUAGAAAAUCUGACAAUUUCAUGGAGUUUGUCUUCCUAUCAGUUUAUUGAAAGUGUCUUUGGAGAUGGAAAGUGCUUAUAUAGGACACUGAUUACACUGAUACACACACAAAAUAUCUUACCUCAUUAUUUAGAUAUUACUGGGGAAAUCCUAAAUAACUUUUUUACAGUACUAGGGAUUGAACCCAAGGCCUUCACACUGAGAUAUAUCCUCACCUCUUUUUUUAUUUUUUAUUUUGAGACAGGAUCUUUCUAAGAUAAUAAAUUGCCUAGGCUGGGCUCAAACUUGAGAUCUUUCUGCCUCAGCCUUAUAGCAUGCUGGGAUUAUAGGCACAUGCCAUCAUGCCUGUCCCUAAAUAAUUUUCUAUAGAGAUUGCAGUUCCACAUGUGCAUCUGAGUAGAAACAUGGGCUACUGUCAACUAUGUUGAAAAUAGGUACUCAUUUGUAUAAAAAAUGCUCUAUGUAGUUCACAUAAUAUUCACUACAAACCCACACUUUAUAAAGUACAGAGCUGCACAGAUUUUUUUUUUUUGAGAUCCAACUCAGGGCCUAUGCAUUAGGCAACCGCUCUACACUGAAUUAAACUCCCAGCCCAGAUUGUCAUAUUCACCAAAAAAGUUAAAAAUUAGCCUUACUAUUGUGGAAUUAAAUCGUUACAGAUUUCUGCUUAUACAACUUCAAUAACUUCAAUAAAACCCUGGGUGAUUUGAGUGUGUAGUUGUCCUUUCUUUGUUUAAGAAAUAGAGUGUUGAGUAUAAGAUGGUAGAAAUGUUC
rnacentral:lncRNA from 1 species